UAGAUUCUAGGGUUUCCCUUUCCCAGGAGUGGCAAGUUCCAUGAUAUGCCAGUGUGCUGCUGUUUGUGUGUUGCGUAAUAAUCCGUAAAAUGCCUCUGUGAUGUGUAGUUGGGCCGUAGUAGUUCUGUGCCCUCCAUGUGAAUACGCUCUUGAUGCGAACUUAUGCUGUGAAAUGUGCUUCGUUUCUAGUAAUGAACUUAUGGAUGAAUGUCCGUCCUGAAAUGUUAUGAGUAUUCUGAAAUUCAUGAUGUUUGCUCUGUUGCUAAUUGUUAAUGUGACUCUUGGGGAUCGUUGGUAAUCUGUUUAUUAGGUUAAAUUGUCAAACAUUGUUCUUAAGGGCACGCCUGUUUCUCGCAACCGUGAUGGUUGAAACUUUGGUGGUCUUACUGGUCUGGUGCUGUUAUAACUUAUAUAAGCAUUUACAAGUGUAUACUGCCAACACAUGCUAGGCGUUUACUUGUUUGGUCAUAUUCAUCAGUUUGACCUAUUCAUUGACUUACCCGAAGUGUUGAUGACUAUAAAUGUACAAUGUUUGCUUGCUAAUGGGACACGUUUGUCUCGUGCUAUCGAUUGUAGAUGCGGCAUAAAAUUGCUUACCAGUAGCCUUGUACAUUUGACACGAAGGUCAGCUUGUACAUUGACAAGUGGUAGAUGUUCUUGAUGUUUGACAAGUUUAAUUUGAACUACCAAAGCGUCAUAUAUUUAGGAACGGAGGGAGUAGAAGCCAAAUGCUGAUCUAGGUUAAAUUUAGUUCUUUAUCUUGUAUCUGCUUAACUGUGAAUGGUGUAUGCAUUCAGCAUGGUGCACACAUGCACGUGCAUAAGCACAGUUUUGUAGGUAGGCGGUACUUACCCAACGAUAUUCUAUCUUGUUUUUAGCAUAACGAUAUUAUAUCUUGGGUAAGGGGAAUGCGUCCAUGUCGGUUUCAGCAAGGUUCCUUCAAAAUUAUAAUCUCAUCUUUUUUUUGAGAGAGUAUGCAAAAUGCGUACCAUAGCUUUAUACAGAAGAGAGAAAGUCAAUAUACAAGGAUCUGUUGCCCCUACCAGUCUACCACACCUCAGCCAGGGCAACCAUAGCUCAUCCUGAAAAGGAAACUACUCCUCACAGUCGCUGUAUACCAUUAGUUCCGGGCAUAAUUGAUUUGAUACACGGGCUGAAAGGCCGCAGAGCAGUACAACAAAGAAAGAACCGGAAGAAUAGGCAUCCAGGAGUUCACCAGUUCUGUACAUACAGAGAUGGUCGCUGAAGCAGUAGCUCCACCUGAAGAUAGACAGACAUGGCAUUUCAUAUUAGUCACAGCAUGAGGAUAGGAGAAGAACAUAAUACAUAAUUACAUAUUAUCAUAAAUAAAGCUGAAAUUAGGAUCUCAGGAAGGAAAAUGUUGGGUGGUAUACGGGGUCUACAGUAAUAAUGACAUAAUGGUAGUACUAGUAACCAUUGAGGCAACACUUUCAGUUAUGCUAAUAGGUAAUCCUUGAACUCUUUGUACCAAGAGCUCGAUGAAUGUGGCAAUUUUCUAUGCUCAGCAACUUUGAUUUUGUUAUUCUCAAGAUUGUCAAAAGUGUAAUUCCGUUCUUUUGGGUGCUGUUAUAAAGUUAACGUGGUAUUUGUUGGGAUAAAAUUAAUAAUUAUGCAGAUCAUAUUGCAUCUGUGUCGUCAGACUGAUUCUGGUUACAUGAUCAUAUCAAAUAAGAAUGAGCAAAUCCUUCACAGAACUUGGGGUCAGUCGAUUUUGGUCUGUACGUGUCUUCUGUUUGUCCAUUGGAACACUGUCGACCCCAUACUUGUUCUCUAGCAGCGCCUGGCACUAGGGCAUGCCUAACAAAAAAAAACAUUUUUUUUCCUGUGAAACUUUUAAUCUAUUUAUUUUUAAUCAUGACAAUACAACAAACAACAGAAAUAAUAAAAAUUACAUCUAGAUCCGUAGAUCAUCUAGCGAUGACUAUAAAUAUUGAAGCGAGCUGCAGGUAGUUGGCUUUGGCUUUUCUUUUGGAAGAUGCCAUUCUAUCCAAUCUUCAUAUUUCCCACCCAAUAAAUGGGAUUUUUUUUCUUUAAAUAAAUGCUCCAAGUCCUCUCAGUUUUAUCUCCCGUUGAACUUGUGAUAAAGCGGCAAAACAACCGCGGUAAAUCCUAAAAACAAACUAUCACUAUGAUGCAAAAUACUUAACGAAAACAUGAUAUAAAGUGCACGCAUCAUGACCAAGGGAGGAGGAAGGUUGCGAGUUGGAUGGCAGGGACGCCUUCAUGUUAUAUAGCGAUCAAGAUUAACUAGAAGGCUACAUGUCUUGAGAUCGAUGAUGCCAAAGGUACCGACGAUGCACUACUCUUGGGCGAGAUUGAACACGACAAAGGUGCAUCAAGGCGUGAAUAAGGAAGAAACCACCUUUGUCAGUUUUCGAAUUAAGGACCAACUGCAGCGAAGUAGCCUACUCACUUGAGAGUUGAGAUACAAUGAAGAAUUAAACCUGAAAUACAAAACCUUGUAUGUAUGGGCUGGUUUACAUCGUAAAUUAACUCUAUAUACCGAACACCAUCCUUACUAAAUGAAGCCAAUCAAAUCAUUCCAAGCACCCAACUGAAUUCCCAUGCGGAGCGCAAAGUAAAUUACCAUACGACUAGAAAUUCUUAGUUUUUACAGACUUCGUUGCCUCAUAUCAUAUCAUAAAUGGGCGGAAUAGGCUUUGUUGGAAGACAAGUGCACAGAAAUUCAACCUCUCGUCGUUGUAAACUAGUUGAGCAAUAACACGGUUGAUUGUCUCCAGUUCCCCGGUCUUGGGGUCGUAGUACCCUAACGACCGUCCGGUGUUGACCAAAAUCCGUUCAUCUAUAGGAUCGAUACCCAUCAGCAUUGUUCUCUCGGAUGAGUACUGUGGCGAAAAUUUGGCAAGCUAUACGCGGUACUUCAUGCACCAGAUGUUGCUAUCCUCCAUCCUUCAUACAUCAAUGGCGUUCGCGUCUUGAUACGAUGAUGCCACGUGAAUUGUAUCGUGGGGCUCAACGAUGGAAAUGCGAGCGUCGCCGUAGUUUAACGGGGGGCCUUCCAUGAUCUGAUCUCGAACUCUCUUUCCUUGGUGUCAAAUGCCACCAGCUCGCAGGAUGUCGUGGAGCUUGUCCCGAAGCUUCGCUCGACCACUGGCUUUAGUGGAGGCUCAGUCCGACUCCACCCUUCACACAUCGGUCACUACAUCGUAGUUUGUAGUCCCGAGUGUCUAUGUUCUUUCCUCGUAGGCGAGAGACACCAAACACAUGGUCGUCGAUGUCAGAGUCGUAUCCCAAUGCCAUACAGGCCGCGGAGGAACCGUAUCCUUGGUUGUCUUACCAUCUUCGUCGUCAUGUUGUAUGCACUGGUGGUAGCGGAUGGCAGGAUUGCACAGGAAAUCCUAUCCAUUGCAGGUCCCCAAGUUGAGGCCGUGACAAGGUUGAGAGUGUCGGGGUUACGAUCCUGACAAUGAGUACUAGGGAUACGAAAGAGGGGUAGAGCUUAGCUACGAUGUAGGUAUAACACUUGGUGUUUAGCGAGUUUAGGCUCCUCUCUGCGGAGAUAAUAGCCCUACGUCUCGUGUCCCAGGCUUGGUUUUUAUUGAGGGAUAUGAUUACAGAGAAUGCUUAAUCCCAGCUCAAGAGGAGGAGUGCGGCUUAUAUAGAGUGCGCUGGAGCUCCAACGUCUCCACGUCGCUAGGGCACUUAAUGCUCAUUACUAUGGCAGUUAUUGGUAUAAAGCGUCACAACUACAGUAGUUACACGUAACGGUAGCCACAACCAUACUUUAAGGGUGACUUAGGAUUCCUCGACCGUUGCAGCUCCCACGCCGUCCCUCCACUCCCCUUGUCCGAGUGGUGGUUGUCGUGCCGACUGAGGAGUGUUCGUCGAGUGCUGUUGAGGUGUCCGAGUGGACUUAGUGAUAUGUGCAUCCGAUGCUGACAUGGUCCAGGGACCUACCAAUGAUGGUGUGAGGCCCUAGGUGGACCCCAUAUGAUGGGUUCUUGACCCUACGUGUAGUAGGUGACCUCAUCAUUAGCCCCCGAAUCGAUUGAGGUUUCGUAAGGCACACAAACCGAGCCUUCGGUUAAGUCCAAGUACUUCGGGAGCACUCGAAAUAUGUUUCUGAGUCGUGGUUCGUUGCUCCUUAGACGAAAACACAACGGAUUCUGGACUAUACAUUUUCCCGGAUGACCAAGUGUCGUUGAUCGCCGAGAAAAAUCCGGUGGCAUUCAUUUGACUCUCGGAGGAGAUAGACUUGAGGCCCGAGUGAGGGCAUGCCAUUAUAACCCGAGUGGCGACGCCGGUGCGUGGUCUGACUCCCCGGAGAGAUGCCCCUCCUUAUCCCAGGGGAACACUAGCACAUGCCAUCUACGAGUCCAGAUUUACAAGUCAUGCUCCUUGGAGCCUAAUGAAAGGGCCAAGUCAACCCGCGGAGGGGCGUCAAGCUCGCCUCAUAGCGAUCAUGAAGAGGACUUCAGUCGGGUGUUUAACGUGUUCGAGUGCACGUGUCCCCGUGGAGGGUGAUCCGUCGGACUGACGGGCUCCCUUGAGAAAAGGGAUCGCGAGCAAAUCAAUCGGAUUGAUUUACCCCGGAAAUAUCGGAUUUGAAUUUGUCGUGCGCGCGCAUAAGCGGUAACGACACAGGUUAGUGGGGAAAGUGGGGCAUGACGCCUCGAUUUUCACCCACAAAAUCCGCCACGUGCUGCGGUUCCUCUGCGAUGCUCUGUUGCGUGUGUUGUUAGUCCAGAAAUCUGCGGCGUGAGAUCCGUCGUGCGAUUUUAUCAGAGACAUAAAAGGAUUGGGGGUUGGGGUUAAGCAUCCAGAUCCCCUCCUCUCCCUCUCGACUCCUCCGCUUCUCCUCUCCACUCGAGUGCAUCAGGUGCUCGAAUCCAUGGCGAAAGACUCCACGGCCAAGACGGAGACGACGAAGAAGACCGGGAAGGCUUCCUCCUCGGGCUCCGGCGCGGCUGUUGGGGGCGCGUCAGGGGAUGGGAUCCCCUCGCGCGUCUCGGCCAAGUGGUUGGAGGAGCUCGCUGCAGAGGGGCUCAUCCCGCAGGAUGGAUGGCAUCGCCCGAUGGCAGGGGAGGUCGAACUGGCAUCACAGGAGGACGAGCGCGUCCUUCUGGUCACUCAUAUUGAGAGAGGUUUCUCAAUGCCUCCUCAUCCUUUCUUCUGAGCGUUCCUCGACUAUUUCUGUGCGCAACUCCACCAUCUUCCCCCAAAUGCCAUUAUCUACCUUUCGGCUUUCAUCUCUCUCUACGAGAAUUUUCUCGGUUGCCAUCCCCAUUGGGGCCUCUUCAAACACAUCUUCACCUAUCAGUCGAUGACUGUCAAGAAGGAUUCGCCGACUGGUGCCAAGACCAAUGUCACCCAGCUGUGCGGUGGUCUGGGGAUCCAGCUCUGGGGAGGGAGUGCCUUCCCAAAAAUGAGCUUCCCCGACUCCGUGAAGGGGUGGCAGGGGACUUGGUUUACUGCAGGGACAUCCCCGGGGCCAGUAGUCAAUCGGGCCUCCCGCCGUACUCAUCAGAGAGGGUGAGGGCCCCCGCAUCGCUUUUUGUGAUGGAGGAGAAGACGAAGGUCGACAUCUUGUCCAGCGCCCUUGUUGGGUUUGUGAACGUCGACGUGAAUGGGAUAGAUCUGUUGGAGACCUUCCUCACUCGGAGGAUCUAGCCGUUGCAAGCCAGAGCUCACCCCAUGUGGUUGUACGAGGGGUCGAGUGACGCCACCCGAGUGCACCCAGAAGACCUGGACGAGAAGGACGUGGGGGCCAAGAUCCGCGCGAUCACUUGCACCCGCGACAAUGCAAGGGGGGCCAGGAUGGUGCCUGCAAACUCCAAGGAACCGCUAUUUCUUGAGCUUGCGUUGGUUUUUCCCUUGAAGAGGAAAGGGUGAUGCAUCGAAGUAGAGAUAAGUAUUUCUCUCAAUUAAGAACCAAGGUAUCAAUCCAGUAGGAGAAGAAUGCGCAAAUAAAAAAUACCUGCACAAAUAAUCAAACACUUGCACCCAACGCGAUAAAGGGGUUGUCAAUCCCUUCACGAUCACUUGCAAAGGUGAGAUCUGAUAGAGAUAGAUAAAUAAAACUAAACAAAAGAUAAAAUAUUUUUGGGUUUUUUGGUUUAUAGAUCUAAAAGUAAAAGAUUACAAAAUAUUAGAUCGGAAACUAAUAUGAUGGAAAAUAGACCCGGGGGCCAUAGGUUUCACUAGAGGCUUCUCUCUUUAAGGCAAAUAAUACGGUGGGGAACAAGUCAAUGUCGAGCAAUUGAUAGAAAAGCGCAAAGUUAUGACGAUAUCCAAGGCAAUGAUUAUGUAAUAUAGGCAUCACAUCCGUGUCAAGUAGACCGACUCCUACCUGCAUCUACUACUAUUACUCCACACAUCGACCGCUAUCUAGCAUGCAUCUAGAGUAUUAAGUUCAUAAAGAACGGAGUAACGCCUUAAGUAGGAUGACAUGAUGUAGAGGAAUAAACUCAAGCAAUGUAAACCCCAUCUUUUUAUCCUCGAUGGCAACAAUACAAUACGUGCCUCGCUACCCCUACUUUGUCACUAGGUGAGGACAUCGCAAGAUUGAACCCAAAGCUAAGCACCUCUCCCAUUGCAAGAAAAACCAAUCUAGUUGGCCAAACCAAACCGAUAGUUCGAAGAGAAAUACAAAGAUAUCAAAUCAUGCAUAUAAGAAUUCAGAGAAGAUUCAAAUAAUAUCCAUAGAUAAGCUGAUCAUAAAUCCACAAUUUACCGGAUCUCGUCAAACACACUGCAAAAGAAGAUUACAUCAGAUAGAUCUCCAAGAAGAUCGAGGAGAACAUGGUAUUGAGAAUCAAAGACAGAGAAGAAGCCAUCUAGCUACUAGUUAUGGGCCCGUAGGUCUGAGGUAAACUAUUCACGCUUCAUCGGAAGGGCAAUAGAGUUGAUGUAGAUGCCCUCCGUGAUCGAAUCCCCCUCUGGCAGGAUGCCGGAAAAGGCCCCCAGAUGGGAUCUGACGGGAACAGAAGGUUGCGGCAGUGGAAAAGUGUUUUCGUGGAUUCUUCUAGUGGUUUGGGAAUAUAUGUGAAUAUAUAGGAGGCAGAACUAGGUCAGGGGGUCACGAGGGGCCCACAAGGUAGGGGGCGCGCCCUCCACCCUUGUCGCCGCCUCGUGGCUCUUCUGACUUGAACUCCAAGUCUCCUGGGUGUCUUCUGGUCCAAGAAAAAUCAUCGCGAAAGUUUUAUUUCGUUUGGACUCUAUUUGGUAUUCCUUUUCUGCGAAGCUCAAAAAGAAGGAAGAAACAAAAACUGGCACUGGGCUCUAGGUUAAUAGGUUAGUCCCAAAAAUAAUAUAAAUAGCAUAUUAAUGCAUAUAAAACAUCCAAAACAGAUAAUAUAAUAGCAUGGAACAAUAAAAAAUUAUAGAUACGUUGGACACGUAUCAAGCAUCCCCAAGCUUAACUCCUGCUUGUCCUCGAGUAGGUAAAUGAUAAAAACAGAAUUUUUGAUGUGGAAUGCUACCUAACAUAUUUAUCCAUGUAAUUUUCUUUAUUGUGGCAUGAAUGUUCAGAUCCAUAAGACUCAAAACAAAAGUUUAAUAUUGACAUAAAAACAAUAAUACUUCAAGCAUACUAACAAAGCAAUCACGUCUUCUCAAAAUAACAUGGCCAAAGAAAGCUAUCCCUACAAAAUCAUGCAUAUAGUCUGGAUAUGCUCCAUUUCAUCAUACAAAAUAUUCAAAUCAUGCACAACCCCGAUGACAAGCCAAGCAAUUGUUUCAUACUUUUGAUGUUCUCAAACCUUCUCAACUUUCAUGCAAUACAUGAGCGUGAGCCAUGGACAUAACACUAUAGGUGGAAUGGAAUAUGUUGGUUGUGGAGAAGACAAAAAGAAGAAUAUAGUCUCACAUCAACUAGGCGUAUCAAUGGGCUAUCGAGAUGCCCAUCAAUAGAUAUCAAUGUGAGUGAGUAGGGAUUGCCAUGCAACGGAUGCACUAGAGCUAUAAGUUUAUGAAAGCUCAAAAAGAAACUAAGUGGGUGUGCAUCCAACUUACUUGCUCUUGAAGACCUAGGGCAAUUUGAGGAAGCCCAUCGUUGGAAUAUACAAGCCAAGUUCUAUAAUGAAAAAUUCCCACUAGUAUAUGAAAGUGACAACAUAGGAGACUCUCUAUCAUGAAGAUCAUGGUGCUACUUUGAAGCACAAGUGUGGAAAAAGGAUAGUAACAUUGCCCCUUCUCUCUUUUCUCUCAUUUUUUUUUGUUUGGCUUCUUUGGCCUCCUUUUUUUGUUGGCUUCUUUGGACUCUUUUACUUUUUUCCUCACAUGGGACAAUGCCCUAAUAAUGAAGAUCAUCACACUUUUAUUUACUUACAACUCGAUACUUAGAACAAAAUAUGACUCUAUAUGAAUGCCUCCGACGGUGUACCGGGAUGUGCAAUGACUCAAGAGCGACAUGUAUAAAAAAUGAUGAAUGGUGGCUUUGCCACAAAUACGAUGUCAACUACAUGAUCAUGCAAAGCAAUAUGACAAUGAUGAAGCGUGUCAUAAUAAACGAAAUGGUGGAAAGUUGCAUGGCAAUAUAUCUCGGAAUGGCUAUGGAAAUGCCAUAAUAGGUAGGUAUGGUGGCUGUCUUGAGGAAGGUAUAUGGUGGGUGUAUGGUACCGGAAAGUUGCGCGGUACUAGAGAGGCUAGCAAUGGUGGAAGGGUGAGAGUGCGUAUAAUCCAUGGACUCAACAUUAGUCAUAAAGAACUCACAUACUUAUUGCAAAAAUCUAUUAGUCAUUGAAACAAAGUACUACGCGCAUGCUCCUAGGGGGAUAGAUUGGUAGGAAAAUACCAUCGCUCAUCCCCGACCGCCACUCAUAAGGAAGACAAUCAAAAAAUACCUCAUGCUCCAACUUCGUUACAUAACGGUUCACCGUACGUGCAUGCUAUGGGAAUCAUAAACUUCAACACAAGUAUUUCUAUAAUCCACAAUUACUCACUAGCAUGACUCCAAUAUUAUCACCCUCAUAUCUCAAAACAAUCAUAAGGAAUCAAACUUCUCAUAGUAUUCAAUGCACUUUAUAUGAAAGUUUUUAUUAUAUCCCUCUUGGAUGUCUAUCAUAUUAGGACUAAAUUCAUAACCAAAGCAAAUUACCAUGCUGUUUAGAAAGACUCCCAAAAUAAUAUAAGUGAAGCAUGAGAGUUCAACCAUUUCUAUAAAAUAAAACCACCACCGUGCUCUAAAAAGAUAUAAGUGAAGCACUAGAGCAAAAUUGCCUAGCUCAAAAGAUAUAAGUGAAGCACAUAGAGUACUCUAAUAAAUCACGAUUCAUGCGUGUCCCUCUCGAAAGGUAUACGACAAGGAUGAUUGUGGCAAACUAAAAAGCAAAGACUCAUAUCAUACAAGACGCUCCAAGCAAAACACAUAUCAUGUGGUGACUAAAAAUAUAGCCUCAAGUAAAGUUACCGAUAGACGAAGAUGAAAGAGGGGAUGCCUUUUGGGGCAUCCCCAAGCUUAGGCUCUUGGUUGUCCUUGAAUAUUACCUUGGGGUGCCUUGGGCAUCCCCAAGAUUUGGCUCUUGCCACUCCUUAUUCCAUAGUCCAUCAAAUCCUUACGCAAAACUUGAAAACUUCACAACACAAAACUCAACAGAAAAUCUCAUGAGAUCCGUUAGUAUAAGAAAAUAAAAUCACCACUUAUGGUACUGUUGUGAACUCGUUCUUUAUUUAUAUUGGUGUAAUAUCUAUUGUAUUCCAAAUUCUCCAUGGUUCAUACCCCCCGAUACUAUCCAUAGAUUCAUCAAAAUAAGCAAACAACACAUAGAAAAUAGAAUCUGUCAAAAAUAGAACAAUCUGUAGUAAUCUGUAACUCUCGAAUACUUCUGUAACUCCAAAAAUUCUUAAAAAUUAGGACAACAGAGGCAAUUUGUAUCUUAAUUUUCUGCAAAAAGAAUCCGAAUUUUAGAACGCUUUUGUGAUUUUUAAUAAUUCUGAGACUGGGCGCAAAAGUUUCUAUUUUUCAGCAAGAUCAAAUCAACUAUCACCGUAAGCCAUCCCAAAGGUCUUACUUGGCACACACACUAAUUAAAACACAAAACACAUCUAACUAGAGGCUAGAUGAAUUAUUUGUUGCAAAACAGCAAGGAAAAAUAUUGGGUUAUUUCCCAACAAGUGCUUUUCUUUAAAGCCUUUUCGCUAGCCAUUGAUAAUUUUAAUGAUGCUCGCAUGAAAGACAAGAAUUGAAGCACAAAGAGAGCAUCAUAAAACACGUGACAAACACAUCUAGGUCUAACAUACUUCCCAUGCAUAGGCAUUUUAUAAGCAAACAAUUUGUCAAGGCAAGCAAAAACUAGCAUAUGCAAGGAAGAAGAAUACAACUUUGACAAUCUAAGCAUCAAGAGAGGUAAUUUAGUGAUAUGAAGAUUUCUACAGCCAUACUUUCCUCUCUGAUAAUAAUUGCAAGUAGGGUCAUAAUCAAAUUCAACAAUAUAGCUAUCACAGAACAUAUUUCCUACAUGAUCCUCAUGCAUGAAAAUUUGACACUGUUCCAAAAUAGUGGGAUUAACAUUAACUAAAGUCAUGACCUCUCCAAACCCACUUUUAUCAAAAAAUUCAUGAGAUUGAUCAUACUCCAAAGUAGUGGGAUCAUUAUUACCUAGAGUUGACACUCUUCCAUACCCACUUUUAAUAUUAUUGCAAACAUAUUCAUCAUGAGGCUUAAAUAAAUUUUCAAGAUUAUAAGAAGAAUCACCCCAAUCAUGAUCAUUGCAAGAAGUAGUGGACAUAACAAAAUUAGCAUCCCCAAGCUUAGGGUUUUGCAUAUUAUUAGCACAACUGACAUUAAUAGAAUUUAUAAUAACAUCAUUGCAAUCAUGCUUUUGAUUCAAGGAACUAUCAUGAAUCACUUCAUAAAGAACUUCAUCACAAUUUUCAGAUUCACGGAUUUCGAGCAAAACUUCAUAAAGAUAAUCUAGUGCACUCAACUCACUAGCAAUUGGUUCAUCAUAGUUGGAUCUCUUAAAUAGAUUAUCAAGUGGAUGAGGAUCCAUAAACUCUUUGCUUCUGAUUUUCAAUAAACACACAAUUAUACCAAGCAAACGAGCAAAUAAACCAAGUAAGACCUAAGGGCAAACAGAAAGAAAGUGAAUAAAAAGGCAAAUCUUUUUGAAAAUCGUUUUAGAAGUGGGGGAGAGGAAAACGAGAGGCGAAUGGCGAAUAAUGUAAUGCAAGAGAUGAGAGUUUAUGAUGGGUACUUGGUAGGCUUGAUGUAGAUCUUGACUUGGCAUAGAUCUCCCUGGCAACGGCACCAAAAAUUCUUCCUGCUAUUUCUUGAGCUUGUGUUGGUUUUUCCCUUGAAAAGGAAAGGGUGAUGCAACAAAGUAGAGAUAAGUAUUUCCCUCAGUUAAGAACCAAGGUGUCAAUCCAGUAGGAGAAGAACACGCAAAUCACCAAUACAUGCACAAACAAUCGAACACUUGCGCCCAACGCGAUAAAGGGAUUGUCAAUCCCUUCACGGUCACUUGCAAAGGUGAGAUCUGAUAGAGAUAGAUAAAUAAACCUAAACAAAAGAUAAAAUAUAUAUUUUCGUUUUUUGGGUUUAUAGAUCUGAAAGUAAAGAUUGCAAAAUAGUAGAUUGGAAACUAAUAAGAUGGAAAAUAUACCCGGGGGCCAUAGGUUUCACUAGAGGCUUCUCUCUUUAAGGCAAAUAAUACGGUGGGUGAACAAAUUACUGUCGACCAAUUGAUAGAAAAGCGCAACGUUAUGACGAUAUCCAAGGCAAUGAUUAUGUAAUAUAGGCAUCACGUUCGUGUCAAGUAGACCGACUCCUACCUGCAUCUACUACUAUUACUCCACAUAUCGACCGCUAUCCAGCAUGCAUCUAGAGUAUUAAGUUCAUAAAGAAUGGAGUAACGCCUUAAGUAAGAUGACAUGAUGUAGAGGAAUAAACUCAAGCAAUGUAAACCCCAUCUUUUUAUCCUCGAUGGCAACAAUACAAUACAUGCCUCGCUACCCCUACUUUGUCACUGGGUGAGGACAUCGCAAGAUUGAACCCAAAGCUAAGCACCUCUCCCAUUGCAAGAAAAACCAAUCUAGUUGGCCAAACCAAACCGAUAGUUCGAAGAGAAAUACAAAGAUAUCAAAUCAUGCAUAUAAGAAUUCAGAGAAGAUUCAAAUAAUAUUCAUAGAUAAGAUGAUCAUAAAUCUAAAAUUCAUCGGAUCUCGACAAACACACUGCAAAAGAAGAUUACAUCAGAUAGAUCUCUAAGAACAUCGAGGAGAACAUGGUAUUGAGAAUCAAAGACAGAGAAGAAGCCAUCUAGCUACUAGCUAUGGACCCGUAGGUCUGAGGUAAACUACCCACGCUUCAUUGGAAGGGCAAUAGAGUUGAUGUAGAUGCCCUCCGUGAUCGAAUCCCCCUCCGGUAGGAUGCCGGAAAAGGCCCCAAGAUGGGAUCUCGUGGAUACAGAAGGUUGCGGCGGUGGAAAAAUGUCUUCAUGGAUGCUUUUGGUGGUUUGGGAAUAUAUGUGAAUAUAUAGGAGGCAUAACUAGGUCACGGGGGUCACGAGGGGCCCACAAGGUAGGGGGCGCACCCUACCCCCUAGGCACACCCUCCACCCUUGUCGCCGCCUCGUGGCUCUUCUGACUUGAACUCCAAGUCUCCUGGGUGUCUUCUGGUCCAAGAAAAAUCAUCGCGAAAGUUUUAUUCCGUUGGACUUCGUUUGGUAUUCCUUUUCUACGAAGCUCAAAAACAAGGAAAAACAGAAACUAGCGCUGGGCUCUAGGUUAAUAGGUUAGUCCCAAAAGUAAUAUAAAAUAGCAUAUUAAUGCAUAUAAAACAUCCAAAUCAGAUAAUAUAAUAGCAUGGAACAAUAAAAAAAUAUAGAUAUGUUGGAGACGUAUUAGGAACUGCCGCCUGUCGAGAUACGCAUCUAAUGCUCAGCCGAAGUGUCCAUAUGUUAUUUCUUGUGUAUUUGAUUUUGGGUGUUUUUGGUAUGUUUGUUCUCCAGAGUCCAACAUUUGAUCUCCGAAAUCCCGGUGGUCGACCGGUCGCCCAAGGACGUGACGAGUGACACCGAGCGCCAGUACUCGGAGGAUACUGAUGAUGACGACGAAAGCGAUGAGGGUGAGAGCUCUGAGGAGGGUGAGGAGGCCGAGUCCUCCCCGUCCUACGAGGCUCCCAAGGAACGCCGCUCGAAGGCGCGCAUGAUCCGAGUGGCAAGGCAUGCGGAGCCCAGCAGUCGAAUGCUUCAGGGCAGACGACUCACAGCUCGAAGCGAGUGCAUACUGAGGUGGAGAGCUUCGCUAAGAAGCAGGCUAAGCAGGCUAAGCAGAUCGCCUUCAAGCCUCGGAAGGCCGUUGUGCCUCGGAUCAAGGUGAUAGUGCCGGUUGCCUCGACUUAAGUGCUCUCGUUAAAUCUUUAUUUGCCGUUAUCUCGACUCGGUUGACAGCCAAGUGUUGUUGAACUUUGUAGCAAUGAGACUUCAACGACGUCAGCGGAUCCGAAUGCUCCUAAGGAUGGCCAGGAUGACAUCGAUGCAGCGGACGCCACCACCUCUGAAGGUAUUUUCUCACCGACUGGUCAUUAUAUCCAGGCUUUUUCUGAUUGACUUUCGCUAAUAUUUCCAACUCGUAUGCUCAAGUAGCUCCGCUAGAGGUCAUCCAGCUGGACGACGAUGAAAGGUCUGACCCGCCUAACCUAGAGGCUGACAAGGGAAAGGCACCCGACGCCGAUGUGGUCAUGCAGGAGGCUUCCCCCGGCCAAGACUACCUUGAAGGCUAUGGUGCCAAGUCCUCUAGCUCAGAGCAGCUCCACGCCAGCGACUGCCAUGCAUGAUUCCGGCUCCGAGGCCCACACUAGCACCUCCUUCGGCCCCUGCCACCGCUAUCCCCCUCCACUGUGUCCCAGAAGAGCAAGUGGGGGCGAGCAAGGAGGCCCUGAUUCAGGUGGGGCUGAUGUGCAGUCGGCUGAAGGACGCCUACAACACCAGCGAGGCGCUGCAGACCAACAUCCGAGUAAGUACCAUUGUGAGUAAGAUUUUCAGCUGAAUUUUCCGUUUCUUUCUCUGCGGUAGGGUUUUCGUCAGGGUUUGUGUCAGUGGGUUUGCGUACAGCACACCCACUGGGUGUGUGAUUUUGAUCCAGCGGGGGCACUCUGAGUGCACCCACUGGGUGUAGUCCCUGAGGCUCCCGUUGACUGGAAAUAGUCAGCGGGAGUCUUGAACUUAUGUUUCUCGUUGUUGUCACUUCUACUCGGGUUUAGCUGGGGCAUUCCCGAGUGUUUGCAUAUCAGUGGGGGCACGCUGAGUUCACCUACUGGCUGUAGUCCCUGAGGCUACCGCGGACUGGAAGCGACCGGUGGUAUUCUUAGAACUUCUCUGCCCCUUUGCCGGAGGGUAGGUUGCCUUUUUUUAGCUCAUCAACACGAGUCACUUUCCAGGGGGGCAUGCUGACUGCACCCUCUGGGUGUAGUCCCCGAGACUAUUGCUGAUUGCGGGCAAUUGGUGACAGUCUUUAGGACCGUUCCUGUCGUGUGGCACUCGGAGUGCUCGAUCGUACUCGGAUGACCGAGGGAGUAUUCUGAUGAGAUGAGGGAUAGGAUCUUCUUCAUUGCUGACUUGGUGGUUAGCCAAAUGAAGGUAGAUUAGGGUGUUUUUGGUCCUCGAUCUUCCUCAUUGCCGACUCAGAAGUCAGCCGAAUGAAGGUAGAUCAUGGUGUCGUUGUCCUCGAUCUUCUUCAUUGCCGACUCGGUGGUUAGCUGAGUGACAGUAGACCAAGGUGUUAUUGUCCCCGAUCUUCUUCAUCACCGACUCGGUGGUCAGCCAAGUGAUAGUAGAUCAAGUUGUUGUUGUCCUCUAUCUUAUUCAUUGCUGGUUAGUUUUUGUGCGGUGUAGAGGGCCUGUGAGCUGGGAUCACAUUACGCUGACCUGGAGAAGGAAGUGGCAUUGCUCCGAGUGGACCUAGAUGCGGAGAGGAAUAAGAGUGCCCGACUGGAGAAGGAGAAGAAGACCCUGGGAGGUUAGCUAUUUUCCUCCAUUGGUCACUUGCAUUCUGUUUUCCCUCUUGAUCCGAGCCAUCCUGCUUGAAUCAGAUGUUCGUAGUGAGAAUGCUCAACUCGUAAAGAGGCUUAGAACUUCUAUUUCUUUAGAUACCAGGAAGCAGGCCCUGGAAAACAAGGACAAGUAGCUGGCACUAGCCUGGAAGGAAGCCAAGGCCAAGACAAAACUUGCUGAGGAGAAGCUGGCAUUAGUCAGCAAGCUGGAGAAGGAGAUCGAGACCCUCAAAGCUACCGCUAUCGCGGCUAAAGACGAGUCCGCCGAGCGGGAGAAGAAGUGCAUGGGUCAAGCCGUCGUCUUCAAGCAGGAAAAGAAGACCUUGGAGGAGAAAGUUGCACAGCUCCUUGAGAAGAUGAACGCACUCGAGCAAUAUAUCCAUGACUUCUCCACCGAGAUGACUGAUAAGCUUGCCAGUAAAUAUUUUGUCCGAAUGUAGUCCAUUAGCUAUCAGACUCGUUCAGCCAUUGACCUCUGGCGUCGUUUCCUUUAAUAGAAUACCACCAUGAUGUGGAGCUGGAGAUGGGGCGGAUCAAGCGGGACCUGGACCCAAAAGGCAACUUGUCGAUGACAAGGCCACCCUAGCUGUUCUCCGGCUCGACGAAUGUCUCGACAACGCCUUGGGCUACAUCACAUGCCUAUGUGGCGCUUUGGGAGAAUCGACAAGGAGCUGCAGCCCGGCAAGACUCUCCAGAUGGAUAUGGAGUCCAUGAUGAGGCGACUAAAUGAAAUCCCUGCUCGAGUGCGUGCGUGGAAGAAUUCGACGGCUCGCAGCAGCGCUGGUGUAGCUAUGUUACUUGUUUGCGUCCAUUGCAAGGAUGUGGACAAAGAGAAGCUGAAGAAUCUCUGAGUGAUCAAUAAGAAAAAGCUCAAGUUUGAGGACUUCACUGAGACCUUCACCAAGGCUGCCACGCGCAUUGCUGAUGGGAUCGAUAUGGAGACCUUUGUCAAGCUGGCUAGCCCUCAGCCAGCUGCCUCAAAAACUUGCUUGACUUGAAUUUGCCCCGGAAUGCGGGGCGGUUAAUGUAACCGUAAACACCGACGAGCUUUGAGCUCGCUUACUCUGCUUUUGCUUGGGACAUUCGAAAAUAUCAAACCUUUUGAUUUGAGAACUUUGAGUCCUUAACUAUUUUUGUGUUUUGUUAGACUCAGGCAAAAGCUGGUUCGCGGCUAAGCCUCCGGGUGUGGACCGUGUCCUCACUCGGAUUACUUUUGUACUUAGGCGAAAACUGGUUCGUGGCUAAGUCCCCGAGUGUGGAUCAUGUCCUCACUUGGAAUGUUUUUGAACUUAGGCGAAACUGGUUCGCGGCCAACACUACAAAAAAAA
rnacentral:lncRNA from 1 species